rnacentral:rRNA from 2 species
GGGUUGUGAGGUUAAGCGACUAAGCGUACACGGUGGAUGCCCUGGCAGUCAGAGGCGAUGAAGGACGUGCUAAUCUGCGAAAAGCGUCGGUAAGGUGAUAUGAACCGUUAUAGCCGGCGAUGUCCGAAUGGGGAAACCCAGUGCAAUUCGUUGCACUAUCGUUAACUGAAUACAUAGGUUAACGAGGCGAACCGGGGGAACUGAAACAUCUAAGUACCCCGAGGAAAAGAAAUCAACCGAGAUUCCCCCAGUAGCGGCGAGCGAACGGGGAGCAGCCCAGAGUCUGAAUCAGCUUGUGUGUUAGUGGAACGGUCUGGAAAGUCCGACGGUACAGGGUGAUAGUCCCGUACACCAAAAUGCACAGGCUGUGAACUCGAAGAGUAGGGCGGGACACGUGGUAUCCUGUCUGAAUAUGGGGGGACCAUCCUCCAAGGCUAAAUACUCCUGACUGACCGAUAGUGAACCAGUACCGUGAGGGAAAGGCGAAAAGAACCCCGGCGAGGGGAGUGAAAAAGAACCUGAAACCGUGUACGUACAAGCAGUGGGAGCACCUUCGGGUGUGACUGCGUACCUUUUGUAUAAUGGGUCAGCGACUUAUAUUCUGUAGCAAGGUUAACCGUAUAGGGGAGCCGCAGGGAAACCGAGUCUUAACUGGGCGUUAAGUUGCAGGGUAUAGACCCGAAACCCGGUGAUCUAGCCAUGGGCAGGUUGAAGGUUGGGUAACACUAACUGGAGGACCGAACCGACUAAUGUUGAAAAAUUAGCGGAUGACUUGUGGCUGGGGGUGAAAGGCCAAUCAAACCGGGAGAUAGCUGGUUCUCCCCGAAAGCUAUUUAGGUAGCGCCUCGUGAAUUCAUCUUCGGGGGUAGAGCACUGUUUCGGCUAGGGGGUCAUCCCGACUUACCAACCCGAUGCAAACUACGAAUACCGAAGAAUGUUAUCACGGGAGACACACGGCGGGUGCUAACGUCCGUCGUGAAGAGGGAAACAACCCAGACCGCCAGCUAAGGUCCCAAAGUCAUGGUUAAGUGGGAAACGAUGUGGGAAGGCACAGACAGCCAGGAUGUUGGCUUAGAAGCAGCCAUCAUUUAAAGAAAGCGUAAUAGCUCACUGGUCGAGUCGGCCUGCGCGGAAGAUGUAACGGGGCUAAACCAUGCACCGAAGCUGCGGCAGCGACACUAUGUGUUGUUGGGUAGGGGAGCGUUCUGUAAGCCUGCGAAGGUGUGCUGUGAGGCAUGCUGGAGGUAUCAGAAGUGCGAAUGCUGACAUAAGUAACGAUAAAGCGGGUGAAAAGCCCGCUCGCCGGAAGACCAAGGGUUCCUGUCCAACGUUAAUCGGGGCAGGGUGAGUCGACCCCUAAGGCGAGGCCGAAAGGCGUAGUCGAUGGGAAACAGGUUAAUAUUCCUGUACUUGGUGUUACUGCGAAGGGGGGACGGAGAAGGCUAUGUUAGCCGGGCGACGGUUGUCCCGGUUUAAGCAUGUAGGCUGGUUAUCCAGGCAAAUCCGGAUAAUCAAGGCUGAGGUGUGAUGACGAGGCACUACGGUGCUGAAGUAACAAAUGCCCUGCUUCCAGGAAAAGCCUCUAAGCAUCAGGUAACAUCAAAUCGUACCCCAAACCGACACAGGUGGUCAGGUAGAGAAUACCAAGGCGCUUGAGAGAACUCGGGUGAAGGAACUAGGCAAAAUGGUGCCGUAACUUCGGGAGAAGGCACGCUGGUGUGUAGGUGAAGUCCCUGCGGAUGGAGCUGAGACCAGUCGAAGAUACCAGCUGGCUGCAACUGUUUAUUAAAAACACAGCACUGUGCAAACACGAAAGUGGACGUAUACGGUGUGACGCCUGCCCGGUGCCGGAAGGUUAAUUGAUGGGGUUAUCCGUAAGGAGAAGCUCUUGAUCGAAGCCCCGGUAAACGGCGGCCGUAACUAUAACGGUCCUAAGGUAGCGAAAUUCCUUGUCGGGUAAGUUCCGACCUGCACGAAUGGCGUAAUGAUGGCCAGGCUGUCUCCACCCGAGACUCAGUGAAAUUGAACUCGCUGUGAAGAUGCAGUGUACCCGCGGCAAGACGGAAAGACCCCGUGAACCUUUACUAUAGCUUGACACUGAACAUUGAGCCUUGAUGUGUAGGAUAGGUGGGAGGCUUUGAAGCGUGGACGCCAGUCUGCGUGGAGCCAACCUUGAAAUACCACCCUUUAAUGUUUGAUGUUCUAACGUUGGCCCCUUACCGGGGUUGCGGACAGUGUCUGGUGGGUAGUUUGACUGGGGCGGUCUCCUCCCAAAGCGUAACGGAGGAGCACGAAGGUUAGCUAAUCCUGGUCGGACAUCAGGAGGUUAGUGCAAUGGCAUAAGCUAGCUUGACUGCGAGCGUGACGGCGCGAGCAGGUGCGAAAGCAGGUCAUAGUGAUCCGGUGGUUCUGAAUGGAAGGGCCAUCGCUCAACGGAUAAAAGGUACUCCGGGGAUAACAGGCUGAUACCGCCCAAGAGUUCAUAUCGACGGCGGUGUUUGGCACCUCGAUGUCGGCUCAUCACAUCCUGGGGCUGAAGUAGGUCCCAAGGGUAUGGCUGUUCGCCAUUUAAAGUGGUACGCGAGCUGGGUUUAGAACGUCGUGAGACAGUUCGGUCCCUAUCUGCCGUGGGCGCUGGAGAAUUGAGGGGGGCUGCUCCUAGUACGAGAGGACCGGAGUGGACGCAUCACUGGUGUUCGGGUUGUCAUGCCAAUGGCACUGCCCGGUAGCUAAAUGCGGAAGAGAUAAGUGCUGAAAGCAUCUAAGCACGAAACUUGCCCCGAGAUGAGUUCUCCCUGAGACUUUAAGUCUCCUGAAGGAACGUUAAAGACGAUGACGUUGAUAGGCCGGGUGUGUAAGCGCAGCGAUGCGUUGAGCUAACCGGUACUAAUGAACCGUGAGGCUUAACCUUACAACGCCGAAG